CUUGAUAAAUACAGUUCUUGCUUGUUUUGCCAGCGGUCACCCGGUAGACAUUUAAAAAACACCCAGAAAUACAAUCCCUGAACUUCUUGAGAUCCCCGAAGUUAAACCUUUGGAAAGCUUUCGAAGACCCUGAAAUGAGAAUAUUUUGUUUUAAAUCAAGAAUGAGGAAAAGAGAAGAGAGUUGCUCUGUGAGUUUAGAGGUAAUGGAAUUGCUACAAGAGUGCUCACCACAGAAAAAUGCUUGGCUAAGGCAAGAAGUAAGCUGAAGCAGGAGACUCGCCCAAGGGUCUCCUAACCCUGGAGCGGUGGAAGCUAGAUGGGCACAGAACCAGAAACUAGAAAGCAAUGGCAGAACAGAUGAUCCGGACACUAUGGAUCGUCCUUCUCGAUGGCACUACCUCCGUGGGUUUACAGAGAACAGGAUGCACAGAGCUGCAGUGCAAUGGAGAAACCAUUUUUAGCACCUAAGUACAGUACCUGGCACAUAACUCUGAGCAUACUGAGGAGCAAGGACCCCAUCGGACCUGAUUAUCUUGCAGCUACCCCAGCACUUAAUACAGUGCCUGGCCCAUAGUAAGUGCUUAACAAACACUGCAAUUAUUUUUAUCUGGUCGAAUGCCUUAAAACUAAUCGCCAGGCGUUUCUGCUUGACGCAGAGAGAAACAGGCUACCUUUGGAGAGCAAAGUGGGGAGACAGGUGUGGAAUAAGGGUGGAGGCUACGAUAUCUGGGCGGAAGGAGGAAACGGUAAUUUCCUCUAGAAAUGGCUGAGGAGGAGGAGAGAAUGUAUGUGGGAGAGGGAAAGAUCUGCAGGGCUCACCCUGAUGACUUUGAUUUUUUCAUCAAAAGUUGGCAGGGUCAUUAGGGGUGUGUGUGGUCAUUCAUUCAUUCAAUCAUAUUAACUGAGCAUUUACU